rnacentral:rRNA from 1 species
UGAACGAUUAAGACUUCCUUCGGGAAGUGCAUAAAGUGGCGCACGGGUGAGUAACACGUAAGUAAUCUGCCCUCGAGUGGGGAAUAACGUCCGGAAACGGACGCUAAUACCGCAUAAUGCAGCGGCACCUAAUGGUGACAGUUGUUAAAGGAGCAAUCCGCUUGAGGAGGAGCUUGCGGCAGAUUAGCUAGUUGGUAAGGUAAUGGCUUACCAAGGCUACGAUCUGUAACCGGUCUAAGAGGACGGUCGGUCACACUGACACUGAAUAACGGGUCAGACUCCUACGGGAGGCAGCAGUCGGGAAUUUUGGGCAAUGGGCGAAAGCCUGACCCAGCAACGCCGCGUGAAGGAUGAAGUAUUUCGGUAUGUAAACUUCGAAAGAAUGGGAAGAAACAAAUGACGGUACCAUUUAUAAGGUCCGGCUAACUACGUGCCAGCAGCCGCGGUAAUACGUAGGGACCAAGCGUUGUUCGGAUUUACUGGGCGUAAAGGGCGCGUAGGCGGCAUAUUAAGUCAGCUGUGAAAUCUCCGAGCUUAACUCGGAACUGUCAGCUGAUACUGAUGUGCUAGAGUGCAGAAAGGGCAAUCGGAAUUCUUGGUGUAGCGGUGAAAUGCGUAGAUAUCAAGAGGAACACCUGAGGCGAAGGCGGGUUGCUAGGCUGACACUGACGCUGAGUGCGCGAAAGCCAGGGGAGCAAACGGGAUUAGAUACCCCGGUAGUCCUGGCCUUAAACGAUGAAUACUUGGUGUCUGGAGUCUUUAAAGCUCCGGGUGCCGUCGCUAACGUUUUUAGUAUUCCGCCUGGGGAGUACGCUCGCAAGAGUGAAACUCAAAGGAAUUGACGGGGACCCGCACAAGCGGUGGAGCAUGUGGUUUAAUUCGACGCACCGCGA